rnacentral:rRNA from 1 species
AGUGAACGCUGGCGGCAGGCCUAACACAUGCAAGUCGAGCGGCAGCGCGUGGGCAACCCUGGCGGCGAGCGGCGGACGGGUGAGGAAUGCGUCGGAAUCUGCCUCUUUGUGGGGGAUAACGUAGGGAAACUUACGCUAAUACCGCAUACGACCUACGGGUGAGAGUGGGGGACCGCAAGGCCUCACGCAGAGAGAUGAGCCGACGCCGGAUUAGCUAGUUGGCGGGGUAAAGGCCCACCAAGGCGACGAUCCGUAGCUGGUCUGAGAGGAUGAUCAGCCACACUGGAACUGAGACACGGUCCAGACUCCUGCGGGAGGCAGGAGUGGGGAAUAUUGGACAAUGGGCGCAAGCCUGAUCCAGCCAUGCCGCGUGUGUGAAGAAGGCCUUCGGGUUGUAAAGCACUUUUGUCCGGAAAGAAAAGCAUUCGGUUAAUAACCGGGUGUCAUGACGGUACCGGAAGAAUAAGCACCGGCUAACUUCGUGCCAGCCGCCGCCGUAACAC